AUACCUUUCUCGGCCUUUUGGCUAAGAUCAAGUGUAGUAUCUGUUCUUAUCAGUUUAAUAUCUGAUAUGUGGAUCAUUGAUCCACACGAUAUUAACUCAAUUUUUUAAGGGGGAAGAUCUAUUAAAGUAGCUUGCUACUUGGGUCUUCAUGCGUCGCCUGGGCGUUGCACUACAGCCCAGGCCUGGCACACCCCAC
rfam:Solanum lycopersicum cultivar Heinz 1706 chromosome 4, whole genome shotgun sequence.